rnacentral:lncRNA from 1 species
AAAAUUGUUUAAAUGACAGGGUAGGGGCCUAUGUAAAGUAAACUAUACUCAACUUUCAAUUUUCUUCUUCUGUACGCUUUCCCUACAGCAUCUGAAAGAAAAAUAAAGAGUAUGAAUUAGUAAAAUUGUUUAAAUGACAGGGUAGGGGGCCUAUGUAAAGUAAACUAUACUCAACUUUCAAUUUUCUUCUUCUGUACGCUUUCUCUACAGCAUCUGAAAGAAAAAUAAAGAGUAUGAAU